rnacentral:rRNA from 1 species
ACUCCUACGGGAGGCAGCAGUGGGAAUAUUGCACAAUGGGGAACCGUAGCAUGCAGCCAUGCCGCGUGUGUGAAGAAGGCCUUCGGGUUGUAAAGCACUUUCAGUAGGGAGGAAGGUAGUGUAGUUAACACCUGCACUAUUUGACGUUACCUACAGAAGAAGCACCGGCUAACCUCGCUGCCAGCCAGCCGCAGUAAUAGCGGGAGGUGCGAGCGUUAAUCGGAAUUACUGGGCGUAAAGCGCAUGCAGGUGGUUUGUUAAGUCAGAUGUGAAAG